ACAUGUCAAAAAGUGAGUAACAUUAUAUUUGGCAAGUGAGUCAAUUUUCACUCACUUCUCAGAGAUUUAGGCUUUACUCACUUUUGCGUUAUUGUUUUCAAACCGUCAAACAGUUAGCAAAAUAUCCGUGAAAAAUGUUUUCGUAUUUUUAUAAAGUUUUUUAGUUUUUGUUAUAAAUUUGAUGUGGAUAGCAGAGCUGCAGCAGGAGGUGAUCUGGCUAGGCAUGGCCCCCAAGGAUUCUCGCAGAACUGGCAGUUCCGCAGCACGAUCGAUUCGGAGGAGUUGUUGGUAAAAUGUUCGGCAACAGAGGUUUCAAUGCCGGAUUCGAUGAUUUUUCCGAUUGGCGAUAUGGUGUUGAUUGUGCCCAGAAAUUCAUGAUGUACUUGUCCUUUGCAAAAGGGGUCGCGGUGUCAACAAACGUGGUGGAUAUAUGCCCCAAAUGUACCGCAUCAUGAUGCGAUCAAAGCACCAAGACCGGCAUGUGCCAGUACUGCGACGGAUUCGGAAUGAUCUAUCGGACCGCUUAUGAUGCGGUUCCAUAUGUCGGUAUUGUAUAAGGAUACGCGAAUGUACAUUCAAUAUUCAUGCCUGAAUUGCGCCUGCAACGUGCAGAUGGUUCAGCAGAAGCGGGUAACCAUCACAGUGCCGGCCGGCGUUGAUGAUGGUGCGAAACAAGGAGCUGUUCAUUACAUUCAACGUAUGGAAGUGUCGCUCCUUCCACCGACACGGUUCCGAUGUGCUCACCGACGGGUGCAGGGGGUCUACGAAGAUCAGGAUAGGUGGUGCCGGACACUGGCACAUCUUAACAUAUCCGCGGUUGUCUCUGUGGCAAGGGUCUUAAACGGGCCAACAGCUAUGGCACCGGUGACUAUUAAAUCCAGAUCCCGAUCAAGCUAAACAAGCAGAAAGCACUGAUACAGGCGUACGGAAUAGAAGUCCUCUGGAUCAGAUUCAUCUAGUUUUUCAUCAAAUUUCACAUCACCGUAACUCUCCAGGUCUGCAUCGUGCCCAUUGAAAUCAUCAUUUCGUUUCUCAGCCAGGACAAGUUUGCUUGGUCAAGUUGGUCUUCGUAUGGUACGUGUAUUACAGCUACCAGCAAAUUCCACACCAGCUGGAACUGGAACGAAAUGCAUCGCUGAAGAGGCAUCGACAAGCAGCUCAAAUUUAUCGACCUCAGAAGAACCAUUUCGACGACGCUUUAACUUUAAAUGUUUGUGGCCACUGAAAAUUGAUAUUAUGUACAACCUAUUACAACUAUGUUUACAACUAGAGGAAUGAUAACUAAUGUGUUAAUUAGUCUAGGAACACUAGGAAUUGUUGUUAAGUGGUUAGUUAUAUCUAGAGUGCUUUGAAAAUAGGUCGUAUGUGCAAAAGAGAGUCUCUCUUUGGAUCUAUUCUCUUUCGAUUAUUACGAAACUAUACAAAAGUUUACUUCGAAUUUCUUGUUAGAUAUCCAAAGACAAUAGCUUUGUUUAUCAUGCUGAAGUGGAAAUGUAGCAAAACAUGCAAAACUAGCCGAUAUAUUAGCGAAAGAGAGCGUGACCAAAGAGAAUAUCUCGUUUGCACAUACGACCUAUUCUCAAAGCAAUCUAG